rnacentral:rRNA from 1 species
CGCGAAGAACCUUACCUGGGCUUGAUAUCCUAAGAACCUUAUAGAGAUAUGAGGGUGCUAGCUUGCUAGAACUUAGAGACAGGUGCUGCACGGCUGUCGUCAGCUCGUGUCGUGAGAUGUUGGGUUAAGUCCCGCAACGAGCGCAACCCACGUAUUUAGUUGCUAACGGUUCGGCCGAGCACUCUAAAUAGACUGCCUUCGUAAGGAGGAGGAAGGUGUGGACGACGUCAAGUCAUCAUGGCCCUUAUGCCCAGGGCGACACACGUGCUACAAUGGCAUAUACAAUGAGACGCAAUACCGCGAGGUGGAGCAAAUCUAUAAAAUAUGUCCCAGUUCGGAUUGUUCUCUGCAACUCGAGAGCAUGAAGCCGGAAUCGCUAGUAAUCGUAGAUCAGCCAUGCUACGGUGAAUACGUUCCCGGGUCUUGUACUCACCGCCCGUCACACCAUGGGAGUUGAUUUCACUCGAAGCCGGAAUACUAAACUAGUUACCGUCCACAGUGGAAUCAGCGACUGGGGUGAAGUCGUAACAAGGUAACCGUAGGAGAACCUGCGGUUGGAUCACCUCCUUUCUA